UACGUAGGGACCGAGCGUUGUCCGGAAUCAUUGGGCGUAAAGAGCGUGUAGGCGGCUUGCUAAGUCUUGCGUGAAAUCUCGGGGCUCAACCCCGAGCGGUCGUGGGAAACUGGCAGGCUAGAGUGCGGGAGAGGAGAAUGGAAUUCCUGGUGUAGCGGUGAAAUGCGCAGAUAUCAGGAAGAACACCGGGGGCGAAGGCGGCUCGCUGGGCAUGGUCCGACGCUGAGGCGCGAAAGCGUGGGGGAGCGAACAGG
rnacentral:rRNA from 1 species